rnacentral:lncRNA from 1 species
CAAGGCAUGAGGUAGCCAUGCAGGUAUGGUCGGACCAAGGCAUGAGGUAGCCAUGCAGGUAUGGUAAGACCAAGGCAUGAGGUAGCCAUGCAGGUAUGUUCAGACCAAGGCAUGAGGUAGCCAUGCAGGUAUGUUCAGACCAAGGCAUGAGGUAGCCAUGCAGGUAUGGUCGGACCAAGGCAUGAGGUAGCCAUGCAGGUAUGGUCGGACCAAGGCAUGAGGUAGCCAUGCAGGUAUGUUCAGACCAAGGCAUGAGGUAGCCAUGCAGGUAUGUUCAGACCAAGGCAUGAGUCAUUUUUUGUGUGUGUUCAAUUAUGGUGUUGUUCAAGGUGAAUUUAUAUUUGUGUUUCUGACAUCUGGGUUCUCUCUGGAUAAUCAUGAUUUUCGUUUUUUAGAAAUGUACUGCCAGGGCCCAAUUAUGGCAAUAUUGGUGUAGAAUAUUAAGGUUCUGUUGAAGACCUUCUUUGGUUGGUGAUAGAAGAACCAAGUCAUCAGAAUAGUCCAACAUGUCUGCUAAUUCAUUGAUAUAAAUGUUGAAAAGGUUUGGACUCAAACUGCAACCUUGUCUCACACCUCGACGUUGUGAAAAUAAUUAUGUUCUUGGUUUUUGUACCUUUUUUUUUUUACUGCACACUUGUUUUCUGUGUACAUUCAUUUUAUUAGGUCAUACACCUUAUCACCAAGCCCACUUUGGAUAAUUUUGAAGAAUAGCUCUUUGUGCCAAAUAUAAUCAGCCUUUUUAAAGUUCAAUAAAGCAAGUAAUUUUUUCAUAUUUACAUUUUUUU